CUUCAAGGCAGACAAAAGUACUCUAUUCUAAAAGAAAAUUGCCACAAAAACCAUUUAUUAGUAAAGAAGGGACAUAAGCACCAGUUUUAGGGCAACAAGGGAGAGGCAAACUGCACUGUUUUGUGCAAAUGCAGUGGGCUUAUGAUCAGUACUGCCUUUAUCUAUAAAGCUGCUAACUUUCCAGCCUUGAAGGGAAAAGAUAAAUACCAGCUGCCAGAGUUGUGAUUGUAUGGCAAGGAGGCCUGGACGAUGAGAACCCUUUUUCUGAAUUGGUUCCACCAAUGUUUCUUUCUGAAGCCAGGAAGUAACUUGCCAGUAAGAAACCACCUUUUAAAGGUCUUGUGAUCUUGGACAAUGCACUUGCACCCCACCCCCGCCCCCCGCCCCUCCACUGAGCCCCAUGAAUUCAACACUGAAGAUGUCAAAGUGAUCUACCUGCCCACAAACACAAUGUCUCCAAUUUGGCCUCUUGAUCAGUCUUAAAGACCUUUAAGGCUCAUUACACACAGUACUACAUGGAAAGGAUUGUCCGCGUUCUAGAAGAGAAUCCAAACCAGACAUCAUAAAAGUCUGGAAGGAUUACACCAUUGAAGAUGCCACCGUUGUUUCAGAAGAAGCCAUGGAAACCAUCUAGCCUGAAGCAGUGAAUUCUUGCUGGGGAAAACUGUGUCUACAGGUUGCACAUGACUUCACAGGGUUUAUGAUAGAGAUUAUGACAUAGAAAUCGAAGAAAUCAUGAAAUAGAUUGUGGACAUGGCAAGAAGGCCAGGAGGUAAAGGGCUUCUUGGAGAAAUUCCAGAAUUAACAGGCACCACACCAGAUGAAUUAAGAGUUGUCUUGACGGACAUGAGUUGUCUUCAUGAACAAAUUGACGUUAGAUAAUCUGGCAGAAGAAUCCUGAUUAUUCAAGACUGCUUUUGACUUCCUUUACAACAUGGACUCUUCUAGGAUAUGGGUGCUGAAACCAAAGUACGUAGAGGAAGAAAGAUUGGUAUUGUACAGAAAGCUUUUUAGAGAAAUGAAAAAGCAAAAAAAGGUCAAAUUAUGAAAUAUGUAUUUCUGUAAAGUUGCACCCACCUCUUCUGCCUUCCUUUCUACCUUCUGCACCUCUUCCCCCCCAUCACCUCUCGUCCUCCUCAGUCUACCCAACAGGAAGAUGAUGACAAUAAAGACCUUUAGGAUGAUCCACUUCCAUUUAGUGAAGAGUAAGGAAUCAUUAUGCUGCACCGUUAAUAAACAUCCGUUGUGUCUUCAUGUGAAAAUAUAGUAACUGUAUGGCAAGAACUAUGUGAAACAUUUUCUGUCCUCCUCAUCAUCACUGCUUAAGUAUUCAUCACGUAGAAUAUCACAAACCAGAUUUGUAUGGAAGUGGAUAGCCUAUCCUUUCACAGGCAUAGGGUCAGUGAUAUUUAACAUAAAAUUAAUAAUGUGUUAGUUUUCUUACUGUUUUAUAACUUUGCUUUCAAAGAAUUACUACACAAUAUCUCUGACUGCCAUCUUUCUCUCCCUCUCUCCAUACCCUGCCUUCUCCCCCCGCCCCCCACCUAUAACUGGAGAAACUAUGUAUCAGCCUGUCAUCACAGCAUCUGAUAAGCGGUAGAAAUCUGGUAACCAGAAACAGUGAUGCUCUGGAUACUAACAGAGAUGAUGGAAACAACAGGAUGAACUGUGAAGGACGGUUGACAGCAUUAAUGAAGUCAUUGCGUGGCUAAACCUUGUUUCGAAGACAGCUUCAGUCUCAAGGAAGAAAAUAACCUGGACUCCUAUUCUGAAAGACUUGACCUGUAAUAUAAAUCAGGGCACAAACAACAGCACUGUCCAGUUGCAAUGACUAUCAUGAUGAGCCCCUGACCUUCAGCACUGAGUGCAAUUGAUCUAGCUAUUACUGUUUACUUAAUGGAAAAAUCUCUCUCCUGCUUUCAGAUUUGUCCCAAGGCUUAGCCACAAGAGGAAGAUUUCUUUUUAAAAUGUGAGUUCAUUCAUUCUACAGACGUGAGUAUCUGUAAAGCGCCAGGUCCUGUGCUGGGGCAGGGGACCCUCGAAUGAAUUAGAUACCUCUUGUGCACUAAGGAGCAUGUACAAUUCCAGGUUUUAGAGAUUUAGCAGUGAAUAAGACAACCGGAGGAUAAAUGACAGAAGGGACAUCUGAGGCCUGGAGCGUGUACAGGGAAAGAGCUCUGACCAUGUCCAAAGUCAGGGUGUGCACACCCUACACAUCACUGAGUAUUUCACCUCUUGUUUGCUAUAUGCAGAAGCACAGGAACCCAUCCACCCCUGCUCAAGGAGUCAUGGUUUUGGAAGUUAUUCCCUACGAUUGCCUUAUGUGCUGCAAAUAAAGUUUCCUGUCUGACGACUCACCUGAUGUAGUUUCUAUCUGUGACUCACCAAGGAGUGAACUCACAUUAGUUCGGUUACAAUAGAGGGAGAUUAUUGAAGUUCCACAUUUAAGUACGGUGCCCUUUUACUGUAAGUGAGUGUCCCUGAUGGAGAGUUUUCUUGAAUGCACCAUGUAUGUUUGUGCCUCAUGGAUUAAAGGAGCCAAAUGCCAUCUAACCUCCUCUUAGGGCUCAGUUAUUAAUGGAUACAGGAGCGGCUAUCACCUGCUGACCUCACAUAGGUAGAUUCUACUUAAUUUUGCUGACCGUCUUUCUCCUCACACUAAGAUGUAAACUCUGUGAAGAGAGUUUUCCUGUCUGUUUUGUUCAUGACCGCAUUCCCGGUGGGAGAACAGCGUCUGAUAACUACUAGGUGCUCAGUGAGUAUUUAUUAAAUAAAUCACUGGUCUGAAUGAUUAUAACUUCACAGAAGUUUGAUUUCUGAAUAAGCCAGGUGUUAUCAUGUUAAUAACAUGGGGGUUUCUGGACUGUUUCCAUGUUGGUAGAGAAGGUUAAGAAAUUAUUGCUAAAGGAAGCACUCUGGCUUUAAAAAAAGUAGCUGAGUUUUAUCUGGUUAAUGUAUAGCAUAGAGUUGAUUUCCUUUUGGAUGCUAUAAUAAAAUAUAUGUUGCGCUUACAAAUAUAUUUGCAUUAAACUAUUGAAAGCAUGGAUGACUGUGGCAUCAGUGAAGCUACAUUUGGAACUAAAAUGAUGACCUACUUGUGCAAAUCCUCUAUAAGUCUACCCAGCAGGUGCACAGUGUUUCAGUCUGUCUCCCCCCAAGUGGCCUUGCUCGUUCAAUAGAGAGCUCACGUGACCACUUUCAAGCUACUUGAUGGGAAGUCAACCACAGUGUCUAAGAAUCAUUUGUAAAAACCCUAGCGGUAGCUGCAUAGUUUAGAGUUCUCUUCUGUAAGGUACAUGAAAGAGCUUCACAACAGAGUUUCAAAGGAGGAUGAGUCUUUGACGAAUCUGUCUAAAAAUAAUGAAAAAUAUAAUGAAUGCUAAGAAGUUCUUUGCAGCUUUUAUCGUAAGGGAUAAUUGGAAGGAACGUUAACACUUUAACAGUAAGGAAGUAGGUAAGUAAACUGCUGAUUGGAAAAUAUAACUAAUAAAACAAUAAAAAAGAGAAACGUAUUGAUCAUGGAGCAAAAGUGUUAGCAGUUUACCUAAGGUAACUAAGGGGAAGUCAAUUCAUAUGGAACGCGAGUACUGAAAUUCUCAGACUAACAUUUGAAAGGGAUUUCCCAAACUAUGUCUUUAAGAUUUUCCAGAGAAUAAUAGCUGUAUCACUCUCACACACAAAGGAAUGUUUGGUUACAGAAGAUUUUACUCCUAUUGGAGAUUUAUGAUACAGCUAAGAAUUCAAGGAUCCAAAAAUUUCUGUAGUAAAAUAAACAGUGCAAUUAUACCUGAUUUUUUCCCAAAUUAUCUGACCGAAUGCCAUUUUUUCCUAGUCAACCUGUGGAUAACCUGAGAAAGAUCACCAUUCUGUAGAGCACCAGUAGGGAACAGCUACCUUGGUUUUUCUCCAAUGAAGGUUUGAAUACAAGGAAAAGUAUAAGAAAUCAAGAAAAAAAAGAGGUUGAGUCGUUGGGUCCAGGUUGCUUUAUUUCUGAAAGUUGUCUGAGGAAGACUGACCUUGUGUCUAAUUGCUGGAAUCAGGAGGCAAAAAGGCAACUUUCCUCUAAAAAUAGAAGCGAUGUGGUGCCUGGCUGGCUGAGUUAGUAGAGCAUGCAACUCUUGAUCUCGGGGUUGUAGGUUUGAGCCCCACAUUGGGUGUGUAUGUUACUUAAAACAAUAAAAUCUUAAAAAAAAAUAAAAAUAGAAGCAGCCUUAUAAGAGUCUGUCCUUAAAGACCUUGCGGGACUGAGUCCAUUCCACAGGCACAUGAGCCAUUGGGGAGCCAUAGUCUUAGGGAUUAUCGAAUGGAGUUAGGAGCAAGUAGGAAAGUUCCAGAACCCGAGUAUCCCCAUCAUACUUUGUACUGCCCAUGAUUAGAGUGGUAUUAAUUUUCUUAGGGAUUGUUCUCAGGAGCUUGUGAACCCCGUCAUCCCUCCCUCCUUUUGCCUCUCUCUCCCUCUCGUCGUCUACCUCUCUUAGUAAGCUUCUUGAUAACAACCAUUACGUUCACCUUUGUAUCCACAGUGGCUGGAACUGAGUUGGUGUUGAAUGAAUACCCACUGAAUUAACAACAGAAAGAGGGAAUGAAUGAAUGAAUGAAUGUUCUUGUGCUCUACAGAAUGUUGGGCCCAAUGCACUCAAAACUGGUUCCCAGUGUAGCUCUCAAAUAAAAUAGUCAAAAAAUCAACUUUCUAUAUUUCCAUUAGAUUAGAGUGUUUUAGAAUAAUAGUUUUCAAAACUUUCCCUAAUUUAAGCUCUGCUUAUUAAAUUCAUAUUUAUUUUUAAUUUUAUAAUAUAGGCUACGGUAAAACAUUCACACAUUUCAGAAAAAGGUAACUCAUCUCCUAAUUACCAACCGCUGGGCUAGGAACCUUAUAGUUGGUUGCAUACAUAAGAGCACUGUUUUUGAGGUCUAUUUUAGGAAGUAUGGAUUACUUAAAAUUGUUUUCAGUAACUAUAGAGGAUCCCAUAAAAUGAUUAUUCUAAAAGCAAUUUGCAUUGCUAUUGAUAGACAUUCAGGAUGUUACCAAGAUUUACUAUUAUGAGAAAUGCAGCAAUGAACACCCUUGUAUCUUAGAUUAGAUAUUCAGAAAGAAAACCGUUUAAUCAUCAAUUUAAAAACUGAAAAUUCAAAAAUUCGGUUGGCAAAUUGUCAACCCAAAGAAAUGGCUCACCAAAUUUACUUUCCUACCAGCAAUGUAGAGCAUAUGCAUUUUCAAUAUUUGUGCCAAAAUAUUUAUAUUACCCAAUUUAAUUUGUUUCUAAUUAUUUGGGUGAAAGAAUGAUAUCUUAUUUUAUACUUCCCAGAUUAGUACUGAAGUUUGCCAACUUACAGGCAGUAUUUGUCACUGUAUUAAUUUUAGCCAAUCUUAAAAACAAAACGUCAUUGCUAUGAAUUGUCUAGUCCUGUUAGAAAUGAUUGUAAGCAAAACUGUACCUUUGAAUUAUUCACAAACAGACAAUGUCUAUUCAUGGGGCUCCUCAGAAGAUCUGUAGUAUUACAUGUUUUUAUCAUGUUCAGUAGGAGGCUGCAGCUUGCCUUUAUAGCCAAGUUGGUCACUUUUCUGGACACACAGUCCUUAUUUCAAGAAAACAUCACUUCUUCUGCUUUCUUUUUUUUAACGUUUAUUUUUGAGAGAGAGAGAGAGAGAGAGAGAGAGAGCGCGCAUGAGCAGGGGAGGGGCAGACAGAGAGGGAGACACAAUUUGAAGCAGGCUCCAGGCUCCCAGCUGUCAGCACAGAGACCGAUGUAGGGCUUGAAUUCGUAAACCUUGAGAUCCUGACCUGAGCCAAAGCUGGAUGCUCAACCACUAAGCCACCCAGGUGCCUCUUUUCUGCUUUCUAAGUGACUCUUCCUUCACUAAUAUCACCUGAUUGUGGACAGAUAUGUUUAUAAUUAAUUCUGUAGCCUGUGUGGCUAGUGCGGUGUUAGGUACAUUGCCAACAAAUGUAAUUGUAAUGGGUUUAACAACCUGGUCUUAUUUCCCCCCACACUAAACAUUAAUUCUGCCAUCAUUCAAAAAAAAAAAGAACAAAAGAAAUGACAGAAUCUUCUUACGCUGUCAAGUAGCAUACUCAUGAUUACAAGCAGAAAAAGGCUAUUGUGAUCAAAUGGUAAAAAAGUUAUCAGUUGAGUUAUCUAAUAAUUAUGGUAUAUAAAAAUCUCUCUUUAAAAGAAAAACCGAAUGGUAUAGACAGUACUCGGGGGGAAAGAACUACUGGAGACAAAGGCAUUAGUUAAGAUACUUUAAACACACACACACACACACACACACACACACACACACACACAGCCUGAAUAGUAAUCACAUGGUGUUGGAUAUUUUUUGAACUAAUCUUUUUGGAAAAUAGGUUAUUAAGGUAAGAAAACAAUUGCAGAAAGAAACUUAUACCUCUUUAUUAUUCUCAAACCAUAUUUGUCAUGAACAAUUCUAUUUUUAAAGAAAUGGGUUUGCUUCUAAAUAAAAGAUCAUUAAUAAGGAGAAUACAAAUUCCCAUUGUAGGGCAACUUAAUGCUUAGACUCUACGGUAGUUUGGUUUCCUUUUUAUUUUUUCACCCAAGGAACUUUUCAAUUAGUAAGCAUAAGAAAAGUUACUGUAUAUCACUCAUUAUUCAUUGAUUUGAUGAAAAUAAAUCGGAUAAUUUCAGAUUGAAGAAAAUUUGUUUCGCUUAAGGUAUUUUUUAGAGAAUGGUAUUUUACUUCUAUUACAACCUGAAAUUCUUCCAGUGUCCAUCCCUCACAAACGAUCUUCCUGAAUUUCAUAAUCAUGUGAGAAAAAUCCUUCAGGAGAAUCAGGAGAUUGUAUCCAUAUCUGGGCUGUGACACUAAACAUCUGUGUGUCACCAGCAUAACUUACAGGAUUAUUUUUCUGAACUUCUGCGUCUUAUUGAGUAAAACAAUGACUGACUCCACUGGGAGAGAGAGAUACAAACUCAAUUUCCUUGACUUGUCUCCCAACAUUAACAAUUAUUUUAGAGAUUUCACCUGAAGGUAAAUAUUUCAAGCGUUUCUUGAAGUCCUGAGUUAUUUGGCAAGAUGUGUCCGUCGCUGCUACAUUUUAACCACCAGCACAACUGUCCACUUAUGGGGCACAUACAUCUCAGUUCACCGACUCCUUCCCUGACCUGUUUCAUUUAUUUAUAUUUAUGUACUGAAGACCCUACAUGCAAUCUGUGUCAACUAAAGGCUGGACAAAAAUCUAUGGAGACUGUAUGUUCUCAAUGUCCUCAAAGUCAGAAGGUUGAGGUUCCAAAGGAUUUACUGGUGAGACAUCAGGAAAAACUCACGCUUACUGUGUCCAGUGUGACUCACCAUCUUCAGGUCUCCUUAUUCUCUCUCACAGGCACUCAGUUACAGGUUUCUCUGGAAACCUUCCACCUUUUACCUCUGCAAAUGCCUCACAGGUCUCUCCAAGCUUUAUGUUUUGUGUCUGUUUUGUAGGGGCCUAGGGCAGUCUGCUCCAACAUGGGCCACUUUGGCGUGAACAUGAUUUUGAAUUAAAAGUGUACAAAACCCAGCAGAUGCAGAAAAGGCUUUCUUCCAGGACCCCAACUGCCUAAGUUUACAUCGGAAAGGAGAACCUGAACCAGGAAGAGAGCUAAUAACAGACUCUCCUUUACCUGAGAAACUUACCUGCAUAAUAAGCAACCCUUGUUUUUCAAAACAUCUCCUUUCACCUUCCUGCUAAUAGCCUUCUCCCUUUGGUAUCUUCAGACCCUACCCAUCUCCUUAGCUCAAAUAAGGUUCAUGUUGCCUCGUUGUCUUUGCAAUUUCACGUUUGUAUGGAUUCCUUGUAUGUACACCUAUUAAAUUUGAUUUUCUCCUGUUCAUCUGUCCCAUCAAUUUGAUUCUAAAUCCACCUAGAAGGACCUUAAAGGGAAGGUCUUCCUCUGCAACAACUCAAAUAUUCUAACCUUACCAUCUUUGCAUACUCUCCUCUCAUUUCUAGAUUUUAUUCUUUACAAUCCUGGUAGACUUGAUAUUUCAGUAAUCUUUCUCUACUAGGCUGCUUUACCAAGAGUAGGGAGUCUGGGCUCUUAUUGCUUCAUACAGGCAGUUGGGGACCAGUUUUGCUCAAUUCCCCACUCAGCCAUGGCUCCUAAAAACCCCAGCCUGUGACAACGCACCAGCUUGUUGCCAAGGGCAAUCACAGAAGAGGGGGGUGGAGCAGGAGUAACACAAUUACUAUUGGGCAAGGAAAGUUUGACCUGUUUAUGGGAUUUAUUUUAUGAACCUCUCCAUUUUACAUGAAAGACACAGACACCUACAGAAUUAAAUAACCUGCUUGGUUUUAAAGACUGACUUUGAAUAUAGAUUAAAAACAAAUCUCGACAAGACGCAAAAGGAAAACUUGAGCACUGAGAGCAGGUUAAUAGCUUCAAAGCAGGUGAAGAGUCAUUAGAUAAGUAAAGGACGCGUAGAGUGUAGAUAAGAAUGAAGGAGGGGGGCACCUAAGUGGCUCAUUCCGUUAAGCGAUGGACUUCAGCUCAGGUCAUGAGCGCACAGGUUUGUGAGCUCCAGCCCACAUUGGGAUAUCUACUAUCAGCAUAGAGCCCCACUUUGGAUCCUCUGUCCCCUUCUUUAUCUCUGUCCCUACCCUGCUCCCCCCCCCUCCUCAAAAAUAAACAAACAUUUAAGAAUGAAGGAGGAAAAACCCAGGCUGGGGGCUAAAGAAGUCUUCUCCAGUUGAUAACCAUGCCUUUGCACCCACCGGAAGAAUUUUUAAUUUGUAUUAAACCUGUAAAAUUCUGAACAGUUUUUGUUAGCACUUAAAUAAAGAAAAGUGACUUGAAGAAGCUUAGAAGCAUAAAUUAUCAGACAGAAAUAGCCUCAGCAUAUUUAAGAUGAAAGCCACCAGAGAGAACAAAUACUAAAUGUCUUUGGAGUCUAUUAAUUCCAGCCCCUACUCAAGGAAUUUUCAGCAUGAUCACAGAGUUAUAUACUUGAAUAACACAAAUCCAACUAUUACUGGUUCCUACCUAGCUACAUGACUAUAUAAUAUUUUAUACUGUCCGAUUUUGAAGUAUGCUGGCUCUUAGAAACCAGCUUUUAAGUCUCAUGUCUCCUAACAGUAUUUAUUUAUUUAUUUAUUUAUUUAUUUAUUUAUUUAUUUAUUUUUUAAAUUGUUUUUAAUGUUUUAUUUAUUUUUGACACAGAGAGAGAGACAGAGCAUGAGUGGGGGAGGGUCAGAGAGAGAGGGAGACACAGAAUCCGAAGCAGGCUCCAGGCUCUGAGCCAUCAGCGCAGAGCCCGAUGCAGGGCUCGAACUCACAGACUGCAAGAUCAUGACCUGAGCCGAAGUCGGACGCUCAACCGACUGAGCCACCCAGGCGCCCCUCUCCUAACAGUAUUUAUAAGUCCACCAUUAUUUUCCAUUUAUCUUCAUAUUGUGCCUAUCUCACUUACUUACGGUAUUCUUUCUUAAAUACACUAUAUAAACAAAUACUUAUUCUUGGUAUGUUAGAGUAGGCAGUUAGUUAGGUUUUAACAGUGUGCCUGGAGGCCAGGGGGAGUCACAGCUAUUCUGGGAAAGCCAGAGAUCUGUCCUGGCA